AACGAACGCUGGCGGCGUGGAUAAGACAUGCAAGUCGAACGAGACUUUUCGUUGUAGCAAUACGAUGGAAAGUUUAGUGGCGAACGGGUGCUUAGCACGUGGGCAACCUGCCAGGAAGUGGGGGAUAGCUCGCCGAAAGGCGAAUUAAUACCGCAUGUGAUUAGAAAGGACAUCCUUUCGAAAUUAAAGUCGGGGCAACCUGACGCUUCUUGUGGGGCCCGCGGCCUAUCAGCUAGUUGGUGAGGUAAUGGCUCACCAAGGCUUUGACGGGUAGCUGGUCUGAGAGGACGACCAGCCACACUGGGACUGAGACACGGCUCAGACACCUACGGGUGGCAGCAGUCGAGAAUUUUUGACAAUGGGGGAAACCCUGAUCGAGCGACGCCGCGUGGAGGAUGAAGGUCUUCGGAUUGUAAACUCCUGUCAUUGGGGAACAAGGUGCAUACGUUAACUGCGUGUGCAUUGAUAGUACCCGAAGAGGAAGAGACAGCUAACUCUGUGCCAGCCGCCGCUGUAAAAC
rnacentral:rRNA from 1 species